AGAGUUUGAUCAUGGCUCAGAACGAACGUUGGCGGCGUGGAUUAGGCAUGCAAGUCGAACGAAUCCCAGCUGGGCAACUGGCUGGGGGAAGUGGCGAAAGGGGCAGUAAGGCGUGGGUAACCUACCCCGGGGACUGGGAUAGCCGUCCUAACGGACGGGUAAUACCGGGCGAUCUGACUGAGGGGCAUCUCUUGGUCAGG
rnacentral:rRNA from 1 species